rnacentral:rRNA from 1 species
GAUGAACGCUGGCGGCGUGCCUAAUACAUGCAAGUCGAGCGAACAGACGAGGAGCUUGCUCCUCUGACGUUAGCGGCGGACGGGUGAGUAACACGUGGAUAACCUACCUAUAAGACUGGGAUAACUUCGGGAAACCGGAGCUAAUACCGGAUAAUAUAUUGAACCGCAUGGUUCAAUAGUGAAAGAUGGUUUUGCUGUCACUUAUAGAUGGAUCCGCGCCGCAUUAGCUAGUUGGUAAGGUAACGGCUUACCAAGGCAACGAUGCGUAGCCGACCUGAGAGGGUGAUCGGCCACACUGGAACUGAGACACGGUCCAGACUCCUACGGGAGGCAGCAGUAGGGAAUCUUCCGCAAAGGGCGAAAGCCUGACGGAGCAACGCCGCGUGAGUGAUGAAGGUCUUCGGAUCGUAAAACUCUGUUAUUAGGGAAGAACAAAUGUGUAAGUAACUAUGCACGUCUUGACGGUACCUAAUCAGAAAGCCACGGCUAACUACGUG